rnacentral:rRNA from 1 species
GACGAACGCUGGCGGCGUGCCUAAUACAUGCAAGUUGAGCGAUGAAGAUUGGUGCUUGCACCAAUUUGCAGAGCAGCGAACGGGUGAGUAACGCGUGGGGAAUCUGCCUUUGAGCGGGGGACAACAUUUGGAAACGAAUGCUAAUACCGCAUAACAACUUUAAACAUAAGUUUUAAGUUUGAAAGAUGCAAUUGCAUCACUCAAAGAUGAUCCCGCGUUGUAUUAGCUAGUUGGUGAGGUAAAGGCUCACCAAGGCGAGGAUACAUAGCCGCCCUGAGAGGGUGAUCGGCCACAUUGGGACUGAGACACGGCCCAAACUCCUACGGGAGGCAGCAGUAGGGAAUCUUCGGCAAUGGACGAAAGUCUGACCGAGCAACGCCGCGUGAGUGAAGAAGGUUUUCGGAUCGUAAAACUCUGUUGGUAGAGAAGAACGUUGGUGAGAGUGGAAAGCUCAUCAAGUGACGGUAACUACCCAGAAAGGGACGGCUAACUACGUG